UGGGGAAUCUUGCACAAUGGAGGCAACUCUGAUGCAGCGACGCCGCGUGAGCGAUGAAGCCCUUCGGGGUGUAAAGCUCUUUCGGCAGGGACGAUAAUGACGGUACCUGCAGAAGAAGCUGCGGCUAACUACGUGCCAGCAGCCGCGGUAAUACGUAGGCAGCAAGCGUUGUUCGGAAUUACUGGGCGUAAAGAGUGUGUAGGCGGCGCGCUAAGUUCGGUGUGAAAUCUCCCGGCUCAACUGGGAGGGUGCGCCGGAAACUGGCGGGCUGGAGCGUGGGAGAGGAAAGCGGAAUUCCUGGUGUAGCGGUGAAAUGCGUAGAGAUCAGGAGGAACACCAGCGGUGUAGACGGCUUUCUGGACCACAGCUGACGCUGAGACACGAAAGCGUGGGUAGCAAACAG
rnacentral:rRNA from 1 species